AUUUUGUUUCUUUGGACCAUGGAAGGA
rnacentral:piRNA from 1 species